rnacentral:lncRNA from 1 species
UUGAGAAUUAGAAGAAACGGAAUGACACCAUUAUACGCUUACCAUGACAAAUUGUGUGCCCAUUUUGAGAAUUAGAUAACUUGUACCUUCAAUGCCGGACUCAGUGCUGGUUUUGUUUGUUGUAGAAGGUGCUGGUGCUUGUCCUCUACGUUCCCCACUAAGAUUCAUUUGGUACAGUACAUUACAACUCGGCUGAAGAAUUCACGCACCUCCCCUUUUAAAAUGAAGAGCGGUAGGAAACUCUCUGAUAGCCGAAAGCAAGCAACUCUUACAGGCUGAUUUUGCUAUGUCGGGGGUGCACUGUGCAAUCUCAUGCAUGGUCACUGAACUUGAGACAUUAACGUUUAUGGUUGCAUAUAAACUUUCUGAGGAGAUCACCGAGUCUGUUACAUUUCUUGCCAAAUCCAUCACUUUUGCUGCAAGGUCCUCAUUAUCGAAAGUUUGUUCCACAAUCCUGUUGAAGGAAACUGAACUGUUUGCAGAGUCGACAAUGAAAAGAGUCGGUCUUGUCUCCAUGAUAGAGAAGAACGGUCUGUUGGAGUAGCGCAUGAGACACUCGUCGUACCAUAUGGCCCCCUCUUUCUGUCCUGGACAUCUUUCCACGAGGGUGUUGCUAGCUUCCUGGAUGCAAGACUGACAGCGAUUGGCAGCAACAUCGCCUCUAAAGAGGAAUAGGGAAGUUGCAUUAGUAGUCACUUAUAUCUGGGUGGUAAUUUUUCAGUUGGCAUUGGAUCAUCGUACUUUGUAGAGAAUUUUAAUUAAGACCAAUAUAUCAGGUCCAUUAUAAAUCCUAUUUCCAAGUGAGCCGAUUCCAAAGAUUAUAAUGAUUGAUUUGGAAGGUAUUACUCAAAAAUUAAAAUUUUUGGUAUCUUUCACUUGUGAUUUACCUGCAGAGGAAGAGACCAUAAACUUUGUCCGGAUCUUCACCUUCCGUUGUGUUGUAGAAACCGCCAAUGGGUCCUUUGCUGUAAUCAGCGGAGUUGCCCUUGGAGAGGAGGCUGCUGAGGUUGUCCUGAAACUUGGUAAAAGCAGCGUAGUUGCCCCUAUCUGAGCACCGCUCCUGAACAUAUGUCAGUCCACCGGCAGGAGUGCCUGGGAAUCUGGGAUGAAGAGGAUCGGGCAUGAAAGCCAGAAAGCGAAGGAAAUAUUUCUUGGUGCAUCAAUAGUCUUUUUUUCUUGAACUUGGAAAGAACGCGAGUACAGUAAAAGUAAAUCAAGUGCAAUAUGAUACAUAAAGCAGCUUAUAUUGAUAAUUAGAAGCAACGGAAUGAUACCAUUAUAGGCUUACCAUGACAAAUUGUGUGCCCAUUUUUAGAAUUAGAUAACUCACAGCUUCACUGCCGGACUCAGUGCUGGUUUUGUUUGUUGCAGAAGGUGCUGGUGCUUUUCCUCUAGGUUCCCCACUAAAAUUCAUUUGGUACCGUACAUUACAACUUGGCUGAAGAAUUCUCGCACCUCCCCUUUUAUAAUUAAGGACGGUAGGAAACUCUUUGAUAGCCAAAAGCAAGCAACUCUUACAGGCUGAGUUUGCUAUGUCGGGGGUGCACUGUGCAAGCUCAUGCAGGGUCACUGAACUUGAGACAUUAAUGUUUAUGGUCGCGUAUAAGCUUUUGGAGGAAAUUGCCAAGUCUGUGACAUUCCUAGCCAAAACUGUCACUUGCGCCGCAGAGUCCUCGUUAUCAAAAGUUUGCUCCACCAUCCUGUUGAAGGUAUCUGAAACGUCCAGAGGGUUGAGAAUGGGUUUAACCGGUGUUGUGUCCAUGAUAGAGAAGAAUGAUCUGUUAGAGUAGCGCACGAGACACUCGUCGUACCGUAUGAUAGCCUCUUUCUGUCCUGGACAUCUUUCUAUGAUGGUGCUGGUAGCUAAAACG